rnacentral:lncRNA from 1 species
AUGGCUUUUCUCCUCCCGUCUUCUUCAAUUCAAAACUGUUUGUGAUGAUUACUCAGCGAUAUGCGAUUAAAAGCUUCAAAUUUGCAGAAACCCAUCUUCUUCAGCUCCUACUCUGCCCAUGAUAUUCUCAGAGCGUCUUUCAUUGAGAAGUUUCUGGUCUCCAGAAUCCUUUUUGUGCACUUAAGAUUCCUUCUUGGUGUUUGGAGAAAGUUAAGUGAACAUCCCAGUGCAGUGACUUCAACAUGUUCUCAACUUCUCUUAUCACAUUUGAUUCGUCACGAACUAUUAGUUUACCUCCUGGUCUUACUAUUCUAUCCACUUCUGCCAUUACUGGAACAAGAUUGCACCUUUCAAAACAAAACAAAACAAGAGACUUAUUGUUGAUGAAACGUUACCAAAAGGUGUGGAUAUUAUGAGUUACGCUUAUACCUUGUUCUCAACUUUGAGAAAAGAUGAUCUGCAUGUAAGAGAUCAUAGCUUCGAGGGUAUGUGCUAAAUGAUUCACACCAGUCAUGAUAUAUUCCGAAUAGGCCUCUCUCGUAGAUUAUCGGUAGUGUAUCUGGUGAAUUUAUGUUUACUACAUUCAUUACCCACACCUGUAGGUCCUUCAGAGCUGCUGCAAACCUGCAUUUUUACGUAGUUAGUAAAAAAAGGUUUAGUUUUGUGUUCAUAAUCUGUAGUGAAAUCUCGAGGAGCUGGUUUCCCAUAUAUCCCCAUUUGAGAGCUGUUUAACCAGUAAGGCGGUGUUUGAAGCCGACGGGGCCAAUUCACGGGCCACUUGCUUCCUCUCUCGACCACAUUGGUUUCUGGUAGAUUGCAGCACCAAUACCAUUGAGUUUAUCCUUGUUGAUUGUCACAAGUUCCCAGCACAAGGAUUUUGUCAACGCGGACAUUUCUACAUCACUCAAAACAUCUCAGGUUCAGUGAAACAAACAAAAGAAGGAGGAACUCUAGCCUAAGCAUCCGAUUAAGUUCCAGAAGAAGCAUACCACCCUCAUUAUGCCAUGGGACUCUACAACGUGCACAGUGGAUAAGAUCAAACACUCUGCUCGGGAAUGGCAGUCGCUUAGAGCCCAUAACUGCUGAGAUGGCUGGAAUCUUUCUUUCAAGAGCAAACUGGACUUGAGCCUCGUGUUCAUCUUUUGGUGCAAGAGACAUUGCUAUAACAUCUCUUUCAAAGAGGAAACCGCCAAAGCUCGCCACUCCACAUCCAACAUCCAAUAUGACCCGAUUUUAACACUAUACUGAAAUCAAGAAAUGAGUGUUCACCUGCUGAAGAAAAUCGAUAUAAUGAAGAGCUCCAUGGAUGAACUGUGUUCCACCACCAGGAAACGUCAAGAACUCGCCAGUGACCUUCACCCAGUUCUGAUGUCCUUUUACCUCAGCUAGCUUUGUGUGUGGGACAUUGUGGUACCAUAUCUACUAGAUCACAUGCCACUUGAUGGCCUCCUUAUAACCUUCUGGGAGGGGGACGAGACACGUUGGUGGGUCUUCUGGGCAAUGUCUCUCUCUGUGCUCAAAAUGUCUUCUACUCCUUAGUUUCAUUAUAGCUUCUUCGUUGUCUAGGCAUGGUAUAUAGUCAGUUCCUGCAGUUGCAUUGCACAGCACCCAUGCAUUUCCAUCCAUAAUCCUCUCUACGGUGUUUGAUUCAGAUGUCUGUCUUUGUUUCUCGUCCUUAGAUUCUGUUGCCUGACUCUUCCAUGACUUCUGUGAUUCUGCAGAUUCUUUCGGUAUUCCAGAGCCAAAACCACUGGCUUCUGAACCCUGUUCGUGUUUUUUCUCAUCCUUCCGCUCUUCUUGUUGCUCCAUGUUUUCGUCCUUUGAUGUGCUCUCUUCUUCUUUGUUUCCGCUUUCUUCCUCUGCUGUGGUAUGUUCUUCCUGUUGGCCAUUCUCAUCUUUCAUGCUCUUCUCUCCCUUCCCGUUUUCUUCACUAGCUGUUGUCUUCUCCUCGUUUUGUUGUCCGGUUUCCUCAUUCCCUGAGUUUUGUUCCUCUGGUUGUCCGUUUUCUUCAUUCUUUGAGGUCUCUGAUGUUUCCCCCUGCCCCGUUUCCAUAGGUUGUUCUUGUUUGGUCGCAUCUGUGAAUGUCACAUCCGUAUUCGAAUCCUGUUCUUGCCCUUGUUUAUUUCCUUGUUCCACAUCCGGCUGUUCCUUCCCUUGUCCCUGCUCUUGCCCUUGAGUCCCUUUGGGCUGAGUCCCAGCGUCCUCGUCCCGCUGUUGUUUCUGUUCCUUUUCAAACUCCUUGACGACUUUUUUCAUCUGACCCUCCUCACUCUCUUGCACCGUCUGGUUCUCCUUGCCGUUAUCUUUCUCUUUUUCCUCGGAAAUUUUGUCAUCGUUGUUUUGUUGGGUCUCUUGUGUUUGAGUCUUUGAGCUCGUCGUUUCACUCUUCUCUUUCGCUGACUUCCGUUGCUCGUCUUCAGACUUUACGGCAUCGUCUGGAAGCUUUCCCGGAUUGUCUUCAAAUGCCUGUUGCUCAUCAGACUCUUGUUUCGUGGGUUCGGGCUCAUCAUUACCGUUUGAAGAGGCAGACACAUCACUCCUCUCUGUCUCUGCGACAGCCGCUCGAGUGGAGCCUUGUGUGAUCUGCGGUGGAAUAACGGAAUUGGAAGAAAGCAUCCACACCCCGAAGACACACAGAGCCACAAAGAUGACCAUUGUAAUGGUCGACGCAUAGGACGACGUCGAAGUGCGUUUGUUGCCACGUCCCCUCCCGAAGGCCAUCUUUACGGUCUUGCGUAUAGUACUAGUUAUGGAGAAAGAAGAAGAAGAAAAAUGAAGGAGUAAAAUGGGAGUUGAAGGAAGUAAAAAUAGAAGAAAAAGAAGAGAAAGAGAGGUUGUGAAGAGACAAGACUGGAUCAAAGAUCCUAUAGAGUCGGAUAUGGGACUUUCAAUUUCGUGUCUCUAAAUUUAGUUAUGGUCUCUGUGUUUCAUAUUUUGUUGUCCAUGAAAAAUUAGUGCCAUGUAAUCCAAUGUUAACUUGUAACGCCUAGUCAAGGAUAUAUUAAACAUGGCAAGCUUGUGCUUUUUUGGUAUAAUGUAUUCGAAGACUGUUUAAUUUGAAUUUUGAUUGAUUAAGUAUGUUGAUUUCAAUUUGAGUGUAUUUUUUGGUUGUUAUGGUAUUAUUUAUAAAAACAUGUUUG